CGGACAGAGCAAAAAAAACAAGGCAUCAGUAUUGUUGAGUAUUAGCUUGUACCUGGUUCGGAGGCUAAGUUUGGUGGAGUGAGAAGCGGGCGCGCCAGCGGUGGCUGCCGGGCUGAGCGCGGGCGCUGGAGUUUGGACCAAGACAAAGACGGGAGCUGUCCGCGGUGCUGAUCCCGCCGCGCCGCCAAGGGGCAAACGGGCUCUUGGAACCUGCCCUCUCCCUCUUUACCCCGUCCUUUUGUCUUUCCUUUAUUCUGUGAUUUUCUCCCUCUCCUACGUUUAUUUCCCCCCUUUUGUCUUUCCUUAGAACCCGAGCCCUGUACAGGUAUAUAUCAAAGAACAAAACAAUUGACUAAAAA